rnacentral:rRNA from 1 species
UACGUAGGGGGCGAGCGUUGUCCGAAGUUACUGGGCGUAAAGCGCGCGUAGGCGGCUUUUUUAAGUCUGAGGUGAAAGGUUCAACGCUCAGCGUGAACAGUGCCUUGGAUACUGGAAGGCUUGAGUAUGGGAGAGGGCAGUGGAAUGGCUGGUGUAGCGGUGAAAUGCGUAGAUAUCAGUCGGAACACCCAUGGCGAAGGCAGCUGCCUG